rnacentral:rRNA from 1 species
UACGUAGGGGGCUAGCGUUGUCCGGAAUCAUUGGGCGUAAAGCGCGUGUAGGCGGUCCGGUAAGUCCGCUGUGAAAGUCGGGGGCUCAACCCUCGGAUGCCGGUGGAUACUGUCGGGCUUGAGUACGGAAGAGGCGAGUGGAAUUCCCGGUGUAGCGGUGAAAUGCGCAGAUAUCAGGAGGAACACCAAUUGCGAAGGCAGCUCGCUGGGACGGUACUGACGCUGAGGCGCGAAAGCGUGGGGAGCAAACAGG